GCUUACGGCCAUACCACCUGAACGCCGAUCUCGUCGAUCUCGGAAGCUAAGCAGGGUCGGCUGGUUAGUACUUGGAUGGGAGACGCCUGGGAAUACCAGGUGCUGUAAGCU
rnacentral:rRNA from 1 species